rnacentral:ribozyme from 1 species
UGCCCAGCAACUCCUAUCCCUAUCUCCUCGCGGUACUGCCCGGGUACGAGUAACCUUAGGGAAGAUCGGGUAACCAACCCCCGGUGGGAACUUUGGUCGUAUGCUGACAGGGAAGG